UACUGGAUUUCGCAGAUUUGGACAGCCUAUGAAAGUUAAUUGGGCGUAUGCAACUGGUCAGAGGGAAGAUACAUCAAGCCAUUUCAACAUUUUUGUUGGAGAUCUCAGUCCAGAGGUUACUGAUGCAGCAUUGUUUGAUAGCUUUGCUGCCUUCAAUAGCUGCUCGUAAGUGCUUGGUUAUA